GAAACUGAAGCAGAAGAGGAAAUCUCCUUUUUCUCCUUCAGAUCCUUUCAGGAAGAGCACAGCACUUGACACUCAUUUUCUAAAGGUAUGGUGAGGAGAUGGGAAAGUGCAUUGUUUAACAUAAAAAAGCACAGGAAAGGUGGGAGAGAAAAGAGGUUUUCUCCUUUGUUCCCACUGAGAAAAACAAUAGCAGACAGAUUGUGAUGCAGUGUUAUUAAUAUUGCUUGUGGGAAAGGAUCUCAUUCAACAAAGCAAUU